rfam:Schistosoma margrebowiei strain Zambia genome assembly, scaffold: SMRZ_contig0000391
GCACUUCUGAGGAGUCCCACAAUAGGACGAAACAAUUGUUCAGUGC